UGAAUACGAGACGCUAAGGCGUCGAAGUAGUGUAUGUCAUACUUCCAAGAAAAGCUUGCACUGUCAUAGAUAAAAAACGCCUGUACCAUAACCGACACAGGUGGGUAGGUAGAGUAUACUAAGGGGCGCGAGAUAACUCUCUCUAAGGAACUCGGCAAAAUAACUCCGUAACUUCGGGAGAAGGAGUGCCUUAUUCGUAAGGUUGCAAUAACAAGAUCCAAGCAACUGUUUAUCGAAAACACAGGUCUCCGCUAAGUCGUAAGACGAUGUAUGGGGGCUGACGCCUGCCCAGUGCCAGAAGGUUAAAGAAGUUGGUUAGCAAUUGCGAAGCUGAUAACUGAAGCCCUGGUGAACGGCGGCCGUAACGAUAACGGUCCUAAGGUAGCGAAAUUCCUUGUCGGGUAAGUUCCGACCCGCACGAAAGGCGUAAUGAUUUGGAUACUGUCUCGGAGAGGGGCUCGGUGAAAUAGACUUGUCUGUGAAGAUGCGGACUACCUGCACCAGGACAGAAAGACCCUAUGAAGCUUUACUGUAACUUGAAAUUGAAAUUGGACUUUAUUCGCGCAGCAUAGGUGGGAGGCGUUGAUUAUAAUCUUGCGGGAUUAUUGGAGCCAUCAGUGAGAUACCACUCUUGUAAUGUUAGAUUUCUAACUUUGAACCAUUAUCUGGUCAAAGAACAGUUUCAGGCGGGCAGUUUGACUGGGGCGGUCGCCUCCUAAACGGUAACGGAGGCGUACAAAGGUUUCCUCUGAACGGUUAGAAAUCGUAUCUAGAGUGUAAAGGCAUAAGGAAGCUUGACUGUGAGACCUACAAGUCGAGCAGGGACGAAAGUCGGUCUUAGUGAUCUGACGGUACUGAGUGGAAAGGCCGUCACUCAACGGAUAAAAGUUACUCUAAGGAUAACAGGCUGAUCUCCCCCAAGAGUUCACAUCGACGGGGAGGUUUGGCACCUCGAUGUCGGCUCAUCGCAUCCUGGGGCGGUAGUACGUCCCAAGGGUUGGGCUGUUCGCCCAUGAAAGCGGUACGCGAGCUGGGUUCAGAACGUCGUGAGACAGUUCGGUCCAUAUCCGGUGUAGGCGUUAGAAUAUUGAGAGGAGCCUUCUUUAGUACGAGAGGACCGAGAAGGACAUACCUCUGGUGUACCAGUUAUCGUGCCAACGGUAAACGCUGGGUAGCUAUGUAUGGAGUGGAUAACCGCUGAAAGCAUCUAAGUGGGAAGCCCACCUCAAGAUAAGUA
rnacentral:rRNA from 1 species